rnacentral:rRNA from 1 species
UACGGAGGGGGCUAGCGUUGUUCGGAAUUACUGGGCGUAAAGCGCGCGUAGGCGGACCUGCAAGUCGGGGGUGAAAGCCCGAGGCUCAACCUCGGAACUGCCUUCGAUACUGCGGGUCUCGAGUCCGGGAGAGGUGAGUGGAAUUCCUAGUGUAGAGGUGAAAUUCGUAGAUAUUAGGAAGAACACCAGUGGCGAAGGCGGCUCACUGGCCCGGUACUGACGCUGAGGCGCGAAAAGCGUGGGGGAGCAAACAGG